rfam:Paenibacillus sp. D9 Scaffold1, whole genome shotgun sequence.
UCACGAUAAUGGCAAACCUGUCGGAAAGGCAGGGACGCAAAACUAGAGGGCCUAAGGGCGAGAGCCUAUGGCAGCCAGUUGCCGAA